UACGGAGGAUGCGAGCGUUAUCCGGAUUUAUUGGGUUUAAAGGGUGCGUAGGCGGCUUAUUAAGUCCGUGGUGAAAUUUCUCGGCUCAACCGAGACCCUGCCAUUGAUACUGAUAAGCUAGAAUUCAAAUGGAGUAGGCGGAAUGAAUCAUGUAGCGGUGACAUGCAUAGAUAUGAUUCAGAACACCGAUCGCGAAGGCAGCUUACUAAGAUGAAAUUGACGCUGAUGCACGAAAGCGUGGGUAGCAAACAGG
rnacentral:rRNA from 1 species